rnacentral:snoRNA from 1 species
CCACAUGGGAGGUCCACGGUUCAAACCCCGGGCCUCCUCGACCCGUGUGGAGCUGGUCCAUGUGCAGUGCAUAUUCCUACAGCUUCACAGAGUCCUAAGGACACUGACUGAGGAGACAAACCAUGCAGGAAACAGCU